rnacentral:rRNA from 1 species
CCCUUAGAGUUUGAUCCUGGCUCAGGAUGAACGCUAGCUACAGGCUUAACACAUGCAAGUCGAGGGGCAGCAUGGUCUUAGCUUGCUAAGGCUGAUGGCGACCGGCGCACGGGUGAGUAACACGUAUCCAACCUGCCGUCUACUCUUGGCCAGCCUUCUGAAAGGAAGAUUAAUCCAGGAUGGGAUCAUGAGUUCACAUGUCCGCAUGAUUAAAGGUAUUUUCCGGUAGACGAUGGGGAUGCGUUCCAUUAGAUAGUAGGCGGGGUAACGGCCCACCUAGUCAACGAUGGAUAGGGGUUCUGAGAGGAAGGUCCCCCACAUUGGAACUGAGACACGGUCCAAACUCCUACGGGAGGCAGCAGUGAGGAAUAUUGGUCAAUGGGCGAUGGCCUGAACCAGCCAAGUAGCGUGAAGGAUGACUGCCCUAUGGGUUGUAAACUUCUUUUAUAAAGGAAUAAAGUCGGGUAUGCAUAC